rnacentral:rRNA from 1 species
GAUGAACGCUGGCGGCGUGCUUAACACAUGCAAGUCGAACGGAAAGGCCCAAGCUUGCUUGGGUACUCGAGUGGCGAACGGGUGAGUAACACGUGGGUGAUCUGCCCUGCACUUCGGGAUAAGCCUGGGAAACUGGGUCUAAUACCGGAUAGGACGAUGGUUUGGAUGCCAUUGUGGAAAGUUUUUUCGGUGUGGGAUGAGCUCGCGGCCUAUCAGCUUGUUGGUGGGGUAAUGGCCUACCAAGGCGUCGACGGGUAGCCGGCCUGAGAGGGUGUACGGCCACAUUGGGACGGAGAUACGGCCCAGACUCCUACAGGAGGCAGCAGUGGGGAAUAUUGCACAAUGGGCGCAAGCCUGAUGCAGCGACGCCGCGUGGGGGAUGACGGCCUUCGGGUUGUAAACUCCUUUCGCUAGGGACGAAGCGUUUUUGUGACGGUACCUGGAGAAGAAGCACCGGCUAACUACGUG